CUUUUUUCACGCGAAAAACGUAUACCUAAUGCAUCAAAGCAACAAUGUACUUGAAGAUUUUGAGUCAAUAUACUUUGACUUUGAUGAUAUUCGUUUCCGUUCAUACAGAAACAAUUCAUCAGCAUAAAUUUAUACCACCCGAUCAACUCUCCCCAACUAAUAUUGAUACCUCAAAAAUUAUAUCAGUUGAAUCUCCGACACCACUGAUAGCUCGCUUGGAAAAAUACAGUUUUGAAACUGUGAAAAAUACCGGAAAAGCAAUCGCUUUUUAUCCUUUUCCUUUCACCAGAACUCACUUUACAGGAGGAUUACUGGGUAAUAAAACUUAUCGAUUUUAUAGGAAUUUUUUGCGUUUGAAUCAAAAUUCAC